rnacentral:rRNA from 1 species
GAUGAACGCUGGCGGCGUGCCUAAUACAUGCAAGUCGAACGCUGGAAAUCUAGCUUGCUAGAUUGAAGGAGUGGCGAACGGGUGAGUAAUACAUAAGCAACCUACCCACGAAGACUGGGAUAAUCUCUGGAAACGGGGACUAAUACCGGAUGGGUAAUCGGAAGGCAUCUUCUGAUUAUUAAAGGUUAAAAACACUGGUGGAUGGGCUUAUGGCGCAUUAGUUAGUUGGUGAGGUAACGGCCCACCAAGACGAUGAUGCGUAGCCGGCCUGAGAGGGUGAACGGCCACAUUGGGACUGAGACACGGCCCAGACUCCUACGGGAGGCAGCAGUAGGGAAUUUUCGGCAAUGGGGGAAACCCUGACCGAGCAACGCCGCGUGAGUGAUGACGGCCUUCGGGUUGUAAAGCUCUGUUGUAAGGGAAGAACGGUAGAUAGAGAAUAUCUAAAUGACGGUACCUUACCAGAAAGCCACGGCUAACUACGUG